rnacentral:lncRNA from 1 species
GCUGACGUCAGCGCUGCCCGCUUACGUCAUCUGGCCGCCGCCCGCCAUCGUCAGCCUGGGGGGGCCGCGGGUGGCGCUGCUGGGGGGCGCCUUUUGACCAAAACCGCCGGAUUUCAGCCCAAAACCGCAAUGGAGACGGAAACCGGGAAUGUGCGCCGGAAACCGGGAAUUUGGACCCAAAAAAUGGGAAUUUGGACCGAAAAAAUGGGAAUUUGGACCCGAAAAACGGGAAUUUGGAUCCAAAAAACGGGAAUUUGGAUCCAAAAAACGGGAAUUUGGAUCCAAAAAAUGGGAAUUUGUACCAAAAAAACGGGAAUUUGGACCCAAAAAACGGGAAUUUGGACCCAAAAAACGGGAAUUUGGAUCCAAAAAAACCGGGAAUUUGGACCGAAAAACGGGAAUUUGUACCCAAAAAUCGGGAAUUUGUAGCGAAAAUCGGAAUUUUGUACUCCAAAUCGGGAAUUUGUACCCAAAAAACCGGGAAUUUGUAGCGAAAAUCGGCAUUUGUACCCAAAAAUCGGGAAUUUGUACCCAAAAAUUGGAAAUUUGUACCCAAAAAACCGGGAAUUUGUACCAAAAAAACGGGAACUUGUACACAAAAAAACGGGAAUUUGUAGCGAAAAGCGGAAUUUUGUACCCAAAAUCGGGAAUUUGUACCCAAAAAACCGGGAAUUUGUACCCAAAAAAAUGGGAAUUUGUACCGAAAACCGGGAAUUUGUACCCAAAAAAACGGGAAUUUGUACCCAAAAAAAUGGGAAUUUGUAGCGAAAAGCGGAAUUUUGUACCCAAAAUCGGGAAUUUGUACCCAAAAUCGGGAAUUUGUAGCAAAAAUCGGGAAUUUGCACCCAAAAAACGGGAAUUUGUACCCAAAAAACCGGGAAUUUGUAGCGAAAAUCGGAAUUUUGUACCCAAAAUCGGGAAUUUGUACCCAAAAAUCGGGAAUUUGUACCCAAAAAAAAGGGGAAUUUGUAGCGAAAAUCGGAAUUUUGUACCCAAAAAAACGGGAAUUUGGACACAAAAAACGGGAAUUUGUAUCCAAAAAACCGGGAAUUUGUACCGAAAAUUGGGAAUUUGUAGCGAAAAUCGGAAUUUGUACCCAAAAAACGGGAAUUUGUAGCGAAAAUCGGAAUUUUGUACCCAAAAUCGGAAUUUUCUACCCAAAAAUGGGGAAUUUGUACCAAAAAUGGGGAAUAUGUACC